GUGAAGGGUCAGGGCGGGGACGACGGAGCUCGGGCUCAGAACGGCGGCAACAUGGCGUCUACGGCGGCUGGGAAGCAGCGAAUCCCCAAAGUGGCAAAGGUGAAAAACAAAGCGCCAGCAGAAGUACAGAUCACAGCAGAACAGCUGUUAAGAGAAGCAAAGGAGAGAGAACUUGAACUUCUUCCACCACCUCCGCAACAAAAGAUCACAGACGAAGAAGAGCUAAAUGACUACAAGCUUCGAAAACGGAAGACCUUGAAGAUAAUAUAA